CUGCUCUCUGAGGAGAUGACACAUGUCAAAAAGCCCUUAGAGACUGAGGCCGUCCUUGUUGAACAGCUGUUUUCAGCCACCUGUCUUGGUCAUCUGCAGAGGUCACAUUGUUUGCAUAUAAACUGCACAGCAACAGCCUCCAGAAGGGGUGGCCAUGUACCCACACACCAUUAUAACACCACCACCAGCAUGAACCUUGAUACAAAGCAGCAUGGAUGCCUUUCUUCUGAACGUCUCGUAUGAAAUGGAGACUCAUCGGAUCAUGGAAUAUUUUCCAAUUUUGCUACCAUUCAGUGGAUAUUUUCUCUUAUUCUCAGCUGUAAAACUGAAAGAUGACUGCGAGUGAAAUUCCCAGUGGAUCAGCGGUGUCUGAAAACCCAGACCAUUCCAUCUGUCACAAACAACCAUACUAUGAACAAAGUCACUCUUUAUAGACAAAACUGAAAAAAGCAUGUAAUGUUUUGUUUAAUAAUAAAAAUAGACUAAACAAAUAAAUUGAUUUCUUGUACUAUUA